rnacentral:rRNA from 1 species
GCCUAAAAUCUAGCCCACGCACUCGCAUGACUUCUCCUUACCCUCCCCCACACAAACAAAACAUUUUAACAUUUUAGUACAGGCGAUCGAAAAAUUUCUAAGCGCUUCAGAUAAAGUACCGCAAGGGAAAAAUGAAAUAGAAAUGAAAUAACCCUAAAGCCCCAAAUAGCAGAGAUUACACCUCGUACCUUUUGCAUCAUGGUCUAGCCAGUCUACCCAAGCAAAAUGAAAAUUUCAGUUUGACACCCCGAAACUAAGCGAGCUACUUCAGAACAGCCUAACGGGCCAACCCGUCUCUGUUGCAAAAGAGUGGGAAGAUUCUUAAGUAGAGGUGACAAGCCUACCGAGCUUAGAGAUAGCUGGUUGUUCAGGAAAAGAGUUUUAGCUCCUCCUUAAGCUUCCUCAUUAUAUCAAAUAAACCCCAAAGCUUAAGAGCCAUUCAAAUAGGGCACAGCUUAUUUGAAACAGGACACAACCUACAACACAGGGUAAACAAGAGUAAAUUAAGUAAAGUGGGCCUAAAAGCAGCCACCUUUAAAAAAGCGUUAAAGCUUAACUAUUUCCUACUCAUAAUUCCUCUAACCCCCUCUAACCCUUCAUUAUUACUGAACAAUUUUAUACCCCUAUAAAAGCUAUCAUGCUAGAACUAGUAACAAGAAACUGCCCUUCUCCUAAAUGUAAACGUAAACCAAAAUAGACCAUCUAUUGGUUAUUAACGCAGAUGCCAAAGAUCAUAAUAACACUUACUAGAAAAUCCUACGACCUCCCAGCGUUAACCUUACACUAGAACAUUCCAGGAAAGAUUAAAAGAAAAAGAAGGAACUCGGCAAAUCUUAGCCUCGCCUGUUUACCAAAAACAUCGCCUCUUGACAAACAUAAGAGGUCCAGCCUGCCCAGUGACAAAGUUCAACGGCCGCGGUACCCUAACCGUGCGAAGGUAGCAUAAUCACUUGUUCUUUAAAUGAGGACUCGUAUCAACGGCACUACGAGGGCUAUACUGUCUCCUUUUUCCAAUCAGUGAAACUGAUCUCCCCGUGAAGAAGCGGGGAUCAAAAUAUAAGACGAGAAGACCCCAUGGAGCUUUAAACUCAUCAUGCAUCUCUGUGCUCUCCCACCACUAUACACAAGAAAUCUGUAUGCUAGUUUUAGGUUGGGGGGACCACGGAGUACAAUUUAACCUCCACAACAAAUGGGCUAACACCCUUAUCCACGAAACACAAUUCUAAGAAUUACUAAACUAAUGUUUAUGACCCGAUAUUCGAUCAAUGAACCAAGUUACCCUGGGGAUAACAGCGCAAUCUACUUCAAGAGCCCAUAUCGACAAGUAGGUUUACGACCUCGAUGUUGGAUCAGGGUAUCCUGGUGGUGCAGCCGCUACUAAAGGUUCGUUUGUUCAACGAUUAAAACCCUACGUGAUCUGAGUUCAGACCGGAGUAAUCCAGGUCGGUUUCUAUCUAUAAAGGGCUUUCCCCCAGUACGAAAGGACCGGGGCAACAUGGCCAAUGCUCAAACAAGCCAUCAUCUUCCACUAAUGAAGGAAUCUUAAUUAGCCAAGACCUAAUAUAUUACCCUAAACAAGGGUU